rnacentral:lncRNA from 1 species
AAAAAUACUGUAGGAACGCACAGAAGCAAGUUCAGACUUCUGCAGAUGCCACUGUUCUGAAUGAUGUGCUGCUGCUGCAACGUAUGCAGGAUAUACGUACCGAUAGAGCACAGGUUUACUCUGCAGAACAUGCGGAUGCACAUGCUGUUCAAAAAGACUGUAGAUGAGGACAGGCAAGGAAGUGAAACAAAUAUUAUACAAAGUCAGGUAUACACUGUCGUAGAGUGUCUGUUGUGAAAACAAACAGAAGAACUGAUAUAAAAAUUGUGGUGUAAUAAAGCACACAUUCUUAUAAAAAAAGUACUGUACAAGGGUUGCUAUUCUAAUAUAGUAAAAGUGCCCGUGAACAAAAAGCAACUUGGAGAGGAAUUUAAAUCGUGCUAUUGCAUAGUCACUAUUUCUUACAGCUUGUCUUCCUUCCUUGCCCAUGAUUCCUAUGCCAACAUGUGCUUCUUGUAUCAUGCUCACAUCAUUAGCACCAUCACCAAUUGCUAAUGUUAUAGGUUUUUCUGGAGAUGUUUUUAACAGUCUCACUACCUUUGCUUUCUGAAGUGGUGCCAUACGACAACACAACACUGCAGAACAGUUUUUACAAACUUCCAUGAACAGUUUUUCAUGUUCCCUGAGUGCAAGAGAGAGGCUGGUCCCAUCCACUACCAGUCCGUGCUGGAUAACAUGGUCUUCUUUUAUUCUCUUGGCUAGCUGCCUCAGUUGCUCUGCGCAUGUACUGUCUGAUUUGUGCUGAACGAGUUCAAGGAUGUUCAUGGUUCUAUGAAAGUGCCCACAUGAUAAACUGACACUAACAGCCGUUUCGUGCUUAUCUCCAGUCAGAACCCACACUUUGAUACCAGCCAAUCUGAGUGCUUCUAUAGUUUCUUGAACUUUCUCCUGCAGCUUGUCUUCUACUCCAGUAGCCCCAAGCAAUUCCAGAUCCCUUUCUAUGAAGUUGAAUACAUCUGCUAAUUUUUCUUCCCGUUGUUGUAAGGCAGUCCUGGCCUCAUGAAGGCGUUUGCCAAUUUCUUGGUAUUCCUCCGGUGUGAACCUUCUGUAUGCCACGCACAAAGUUCUCAGUCCUUUCAAAGCAAAUUCAUCAACGUGUAUCCUUGUUUUGUCUAUUUCUCCACUCUUACUACGAGGAAGAAUGGAAGAUUCUGCUCCCUUUGUGAAUAAAAGCUUUUCCCCUGAGGGACUCUCUACAAUGACGCUCAUUCGUCUGCGAUUUGGAUCAAACUCCAAAACAUGAAGCAACUUGUACCUUUCUGGUUUUCCAAGACUCUUUACUUCCAUACUGUCCCCACUCGUUCCCAUAAAUACUACUCCAACCCUAAAAGUAGAAGAAAAUAGGUACUUAUUUCAUGCUGUGGAACUGUACAUAUAAUGCCUGCUGGAUGCUAAGUUGAAAAAA